UCUAUGUUGCGGGUUUAUA
rnacentral:siRNA from 1 species